UACAGAGGGUGCGAGCGUUGUCCGGAAUCACUGGGCGUAAAGGGCGCGUAGGCGGUUCGUUAAGUCCUGUGUGAAAUCCCCCGGCUCAACUGGGGAACUGCACAGGAAACUAGCGGGCUUGAGUUCGGGAGAGGGAAGCGGAAUUCCGGGUGUAGCGGUGAAAUGCGUAGAUAUCGAGGGGAACACCAGUGGCGAAGGCGGCCAACUGGACGAAUACUGACGCUGAGACGACG
rnacentral:rRNA from 1 species